rnacentral:rRNA from 1 species
CUACGGGAGGCUGCAGUGGGGAAUAUUGCACAAUGGGCGCAAGCCUGAUGCAGCCAUGCCGCGUGUAUGAAGAAGGCCUUCGGGUUGUAAAGUACUUUCAGCGGGGAGGAAGGGAGUAAAGUUAAUACCUUUGCUCAUUGACGUUACCCGCAGAAGAAGCACCGGCUAACUCCGUGCCAGCAGCCGCGGUAAUACGGAGGGUGCAAGCGAUAAUCGGAAUUACUGGGCGUAAAGCGCACGCAGGGGGUGUGUUAAGUCAGAUGUGAAAUCCCCGGGCUCAACCUGGGAACUGCAUCUGAUACUGGCAAGCUUGAGUCUCGUAGAGGGGGGUAGAAUUCCAGGUGUAGCGGCGAAAUGCGUAGAGAUCUGGAGGAAUACCGGUGGCGAAGGCGGCCCCCUGGACGAAGACUGACGCUCAGGUGCGAAAGCGUGGGGAGCAAACAGGAUUAGAUACCCGCGUAGUC